AUGAGAAGCAAUAGACAAAGUGGAAAGCCUUGUAAAACAUUUGUAGAUCGUCAGGGUAUAUUAAACACUGUAAAGUGCUUCCUGCUUUUUAUAUCUUCCCCUUUUUUAUGGCUAUCGCUUUAUCUUGCUUUUUGCAAAGAGAAUGCAAACAAUCAGGAGAAAAAAAAAAUGACGGUUGAUUUUCACAUGCAUCUGUGCCUCCUAGAAAAGAACACAGAGGUAUUUCCCCAGCUCCUUACUUCUACUUGCAAGGCUCACCGUGAUGCAUUUCCCUGGUAUCUUCUGUCCCUUCCACAGCUUCCACCCUGGAGAGACCCCCCAGGUCUAGUCCGUGAACUCAGCUGGGAAACGUCACUGGUAAAAAUGACAGAUCGUUCUUGACAGCCCCAGCCACACACACAUUCUCUUAGUUAUCCUAUCACAUUUUUUCAAGCCUUUAUCCAGUUUCUAGUCCUACUGUGAGUCUGAAAAUCUGAGAAAUUUGGGAAUACCCUCCCCUGCAAAUGAAAACUAUAUAUAUAUAUAUUUUUAAAGAUUUUAUUUAUUUGAGAGAAAGAGUGUGUGUGUGGGAGAGAGAGAGAUCACGAGCAGGGGCAGGAGUAGAGGGAGAAGCAGACUUCCUGCUGAGCAGGCAGCAUGAUACAAGACUCCAUCCCAGGACCCUGGGAUCAUUACUUGAGCCAAAGGCAGACGCUUAACUGACUGAGCCACUCAGGGAUGUGAAAAUUUCUAAAACAUUUUAGGUUUAUACCCUCAGGCAAUAUAAUCCUUUUAUUAAGUCAAGCCAAUUCAAUAAGCAUGCACUGAGAGCCUGCUAACAUACUAGGUGUCAUGCUAGAAAUUGGGAAUAGAAAGUUUAUGAGACACAGUCCUGGACCUCAAAAGACUCCAUCUGAAGAGUAGUUUGAAGACUCAUUGUAGUAUGAAGGAAUGACAGUAAUAUCAUGCCUAAUAAUGUCAGCCAAGGUACCAUGAUGACUUAUUCCAUUUUUUCCUAUGUCCCUCAUUCUUUUAUUUGCUAUCCCCUCUCAAGAUCUACCUUGCUUCCAGACUUCCAGUUGAAUUUGUCCAAUGCAGAGAACACUUACAGAUCAGAGUUUAUGUGGAAAGUGGGGUCAGGAUAUUUAUUCCCAUGGCUCCCCACCUGCAGAGUCACAGCCUUCUUCAUCUAUCAGGUGGCCUUCUCCACAUAGCUCUCUGCCUUAGGUCUUGGUGACCAGUCCCUUCCUCUGCCCCUUUAGGCCUGGGGUGAGUGGUACCCCUCUGUUACUAACCCUGAGUAGUCUGCAUUCAUUCCUUAUGAAUGACUUGGUACUGCUGCCUAUUACCUUAUAAAUGUUUCAUUCAUUCAUUAUUCAAUGACCUAACUGAUGGUGCCCUCUGUUUCCCAUAUGGGCUGUGAUGGAUCUUCACAUACAUCAUUUAUGUUUGCCAUAAUCCAAGUUCUUUAUUAUAUGCUGUGGCACUUAGGGAUGAACCUCUUGAGAUAUGUGUGAG
rnacentral:lncRNA from 1 species